UUUGUUAUUAAAUAAUCUACCAGAAGUUUAAUUCUCAGCAUAUCCACGUUACAGAGGAUACCAAUUUUCUGCUUCAAUGCACUGUACUUGUCAACACUAAUUUUCCACUACAAAUCAAAACCCAGUUUCCAAAAAUGACUGCUCAUCAAGUGGCAGCUAUCAGUUGGACCUCUGCAAUUCAUUUUGGCAAAUACAAACAAGAUUUCCCCAGGGCCUUUUAGAACAUAUAUACUUAUUUACAGCAGAAUUGCAAGGCAGUUUUAGCCACUCGUUUGAUAAGAAAGGAAGAUAUGUUCUACAUUUCAGUCCCAUGACAGAAAUAUAAAGGAGUACCAAACUGCUCCCACUUGCAAAGCUACAUGCAAAAAACAAUUGGCAUUUCAGAAUUCCAGGCUACUUGUUGUACUGCACACUUCCAGUCACAAAGCAGGGCGUCAGGUUUGAAACGCAAUUCAAUUUUUUUCUUUUCCUGAAGAGUACUGAAUUGAGAAAGAAAGGCAACUGUGAAGAAACAUUUUCCUUCCUCAAAAGUCUGCUGUCGGAAUUUUAAAAUUUGUCAUGAAAGAUACAGUGCAAGCAGUGAGGUAAGUAAUAAUCACAUUUCUGUAGGCAAAGAGCAGUUUCCAAUCAACUUCCCACUUAAAGAAGGAACAAAAUGUGAUUUUAUAGGUGUUGGGGAUGUAAAUAAAAUCAACCUUAGGGAUGACACGAUGUAUGAUUCCAUGACUGCAACAUAACUGAGGAAUGCCUUUCCUCAGCCAGACCCACAGCUCUGACCAGGUAGGAUGGUCAGAUCAACCCAAUAGCUUCCACAGCUUCUUCUGGGUCUGCUGUCAUCAUCAUACCUAUAUUCCAUAGCAGCAAAACUACUCACAUCCUUGCCUAGCUAACCAUGAAGAGAACUUCUAAGAGAACUAUAACAUCAGCAAACUUAUUCUAGCUGUAGAACAUAGUUUGACCUACAUGCUACCCAAAUUGAAUUUUAUACAUGGCACAGCAGAAUCUGAAGUGGAGGAGGCACUGCAAAAAGUCUUUCGGAAGGAUCAGAUUCAGCAUAAAUUGCCAAAGAAGAUAACGUAGAUAAUUAAAAACUAUGCUUUCGAGCUUAAGCUACAUCCACAGCUGCUUGCAAUGUGGUUAUUGCAGAUGAGCUUUAUGGCUCAUGCCAAAGCUGUUGCAUUCACAGUGCUGCUUUGCAAUGUCAAUAAAUAAAAAGAAAAAAACGAUAUAUUCUCAUGUAGAUGUACUUUGUGGUUUCCAGGCAAAAUUAAUGAGAAAUAUAUCUCAGUUUCUUUUGUUAAGAAUAACUUAAUUGGCCUAUCGAAUCACUUUAAAAGACAUUUAUGUGUCAGAAGCAAUAGUGCUUCCCAUCUUCUGUUCACUGCUAUCUUAAUUGAGACUGAAGAUGGGGAAGAGUUAUUGUACUUCAGAUCCCCUUACAGUUACAGUUUAGCACUGUAUUUCAAGAGUAAGGCCUGGGCUGACAUGCCUUGAUUAAGCACUAAUGAAUUACAAACACAUCGAAUACUGCAGCUGGUGCUACCUCUUCAUUUAAAGAACCACUGAUGCAAAUGUUUUCUUCCCAGGGAAUACAGAAAGCCAUAGGAGGGAGGAAACCAAGUGCUUAUGUCCUGUGUAACAUCAGGGAACAGCACCUUCUCCAAGGGUGGAGAGGAAAGGGUUCUUUCAUCCUGUGUUCUCCCACAGCUUUUAUAUAUAUAUAUAUAUAUUUUAUAUACAUAUAUAUAUAUAUAUAAACUAUAUACAUACAACUGGGAUUUGGACAAAUUGCAAUCAAAAAUGUAAACUGAUGGUGAGGGCAUUGUGACAUUUCUUUAUCAUUUUUAUAGACUUUCUCUCUGAUGGAUUUACACAUUUUCCCCUGUGAUUAAAGUAAUUGUUAUUGGGUGUACAGUGCAGAAUAAACAACAAGGACUCAUAAAGGCAACCUGGCUACUAAAAGGAACCUAGAUACGGAAAGACUGCUUCAUUCUCAGUGCUACAUCCAUCCUAUCCUAGAACAGCAGCAGCAGCAUCAGUCCAGCUUUUCUAAGUGAUGACAGAGGAGUAAGAGAAAGCAAAAUUGCAUGCUCAUAUCGAACACAGUGAACAUCAGGCUUAGGUUUGAUGUCCACAGCAGUUCUCUUCCAUGCAAAACCACUGAGAAAUAUCAGAAAGCUCCUUCUGCAGGUUGGAGACCCUGCCUGUGUCAUGGGGGUUGGAACUCGGUGAUCCUUGGGUGCCUUCCAACCCAAGCCAUUCUAUGAUUCUGUGAUUCUAAAUUGCUUUUUUUCUUUUUCUUUCUUUUUUUUUUUUUUUCCCUUUUCAGUAUUUGCAGGUACUUGCACCAGACAGAAGCCCAUUUUUGUCAAGGAGAAGACUUCUGCUUUCAUCUGCUGCUUUCAGAAAUAGCUGCUCUAGUAUGAGUAAAUGAUGUGUUUUCCAGGAGUUGAAAGACUCGCAGUCUGUUUAGCACUCAGUGCUCCAUUGUGGACUUCAUGCUGAUCCAACCCUUGGCCAUCUGACCCAUUCCUGAAUGGAGGCUCUUCUGGACAUUAUCAGCAGUCGGGGGCAAAAGCAAGACCCUUACAUUAGACAUUAAGAUGAUUAAGUCAUCUUCAGGAAUAGUAAUAGACAGAAGUGAUGUUCCAAUGCUGAGCAUCAUUCAGAGAGAAAAAUAACAGGUAUGGGGUAGGGAAAAGAUCAGGAAGCAGUUUAGGUUUAACGUUCAAUGAACGCUCACUCACAUUCCACAAAAGGUUAUAAGCUGUAUUAUUCCCUGGAACUCAGAAGUAAUAUCAGUCAGUGAUCUUUGUGCAAAUCAGGGGUUGUAAAGCACUGUGUAAACCAGCUGAGACCUCCUUCUAAAUGUCAUGCUGAAAUCAGAAUGUGAACAGCACGACAGAAGCAAAACUAAGAGUACAGUAGGUGAAAUUAGAUGCUGUGCCAUAUGAACAGCUGUUUGCAUAACACUCUGACGAUUUAAAGGCAUCUGUUCUGCAGCCCAUUCUCUAUUGCUAACAUCCACUGUAUCAGAAAUCAAGCCUCCUUCAUACACGGUUUGUGUCCCUCAUUUCUGUGACUUAUUUCAGUGCUGCUCUCUGAACGGCUGGAGAAAGCAGGCUGAAAUUCUGCUCACGUAGGCUGAAGCAACAUGAAGCAACUCCCAUUUUUUUCACUUCCUGAUCACUGGAGUCUAAUGUGUCUUUGCAUCUAAAUAAACUAUUUGCAUGACAAGCAGACAUCUGUAUGACAUUGUUAGCCCUCCGUUAGCUAAUAUCCUUCUGUGGUAUUUCAAAUGCUCAAUCUCCUAUCGCAUAUUAGAAAGACCCGACUGGUGCAAUAGAUCCAUUAGAAUGGAUUUUUAAGAAUGUUCACUCUAUUUGGAUAAAUAAAGGGAAAAAAAGAGAAGGAAAGCUCUUCAUUCAUUUUCAAGAUGUUAUGCAAAUAUUCUCAGAUCACAUACCAAAGAGAAGACUGCAAAUGAUGAGAGGAUGGCCCAGGGUCAAGAUGGAUGACACUAACAACAUGUGCCUAGCAAUGCAAUUGGAGGUGACGGUAGAAAGCAUGCCAAAUUCUCUGCUUUGACAUUUCAAUACAUCUCAGUGUGACAUCGGCCCACAGCUCUGCUGUCCCAACGCCUCAACACGCAGCUGAUCUCACCGGUGCACUCCCCUCACCUUGUGAACACAGCAUUCUGCCAGCUGAGCCUUCCUUUCAUUUGGACAGAGACGUGCUGGGACAGCAACCAAUUUAAAAUGACUCUUCCUGACUGCAACAGAUGAUGAAAGAUUAAGAGGGAAGCAGGAUGUGCCUGAAAACACCUUGAAAAAUGACACCAGAGCCACCACCAAUGUACACAUUUACUGUGAAAUGACAGCUUGACUCACCCACCUUGCAGCUCUUCUAUGGUUUAAGAAACAUGGAAAGAAAGAGUAAAAUGAGUUCUUCAGCUAUGCAGAACGAAUAUGAAGAGAGACAGUUCCCAUACCUUAUCAUCUGGUUUGAAUCACAGAACCGUAGAAUCAUUAAGGUUGAAAAAGACCACUAGUCCAACUGUUGAUCCCUCCCCACUGUGCCCACAUGUUCCAGAUAGAAUUCUAGAAUUAUUAAGGUCAGAAGAGAUCGCUAAGAUGACCCAGUCCAACCUCAACCCAUCCCCACCAUGCCCACUAACCAUGUCCCCCCAGUGCCACAUCUCCA
rnacentral:lncRNA from 1 species